GUAGAGGUAUCAAGGCGAGCCACCAGGUGUAUCGUGACAUACUGAAGGGUGUGCAAAACAUAAUGGUACCGAGAAACAUGUUAAGGAAAUGGGCGCUCGCCACUUUUCAAUCGGCCACGGACUAUUGGCAGUUUCGGAAGAUGUUUACCCUACAGUUGUCGUUGGCCUGUUUCGCGGAGUAUGUUUUACAUUUGACCCGCCUUAAUCCCGACAUGAUGUACAUGCAUCAGGAUUCUGGUCUUGUGAAUAUUUCGUAUUUUAAGUUUGACGUCGACGAUAGUACAGGUGAGAGUUAGCCACGCCCACUUGUAACAGUUGGACAAAAAUUAGUGCGCGAAAAUACAAAAACAAAAAUCAUUUGUUUGCGUACAGAUAAGGAGGUUGGCAUUUCUUUGCU